rnacentral:rRNA from 1 species
CUACGGGCGGCACCAGUGGGGAAUAUUGGACAAUGGGGGCAACCCUGAUCCAGCAAUACCGCGUGUGUGAAGAAGGCCUUCGGGUUGUAAAGCACUUUCAGAGGGGAGGAUGGCUUUUGCGCUAAUAUCGUAGAAGUUGGACGUUACCCUCAGAAGAAGCACCGGCUAACUCUGUGCCAGCAGCCGCGGUAAUACAGAGGGUGCGAGCGUUAAUCGGAAUUACUGGGCGUAAAGAGUGCGUAGGUGGCUUUUUAAGUCAGGCGUGAAAUCCCUGGGCUCAACCUGGGAACUGCGUUUGAAACUGAAAGGCUAGAGUAUGGUAGAGGGAAGUGGAAUUUCCGGUGUAGCGGUGAAAUGCGUAGAUAUCGGAAGGAACACCAGUGGCGAAGGCGACUUCCUGGACCAAUACUGACACUGAGGCACGAAAGCGUGGGGAGCAAACAGGAUUAGAUACCCCAGUAGUC